GACGAACGCUGGCGGCGUGCUUAACACAUGCAAGUCGAACGGAAAGGCCCUGCUUUUGUGGGGUGCUCGAGUGGCGAACGGGUGAGUAACACGUGAGUAACCUGCCCUUGACUUUGGGAUAACUUCAGGAAACUGGGGCUAAUACCGGAUAGGAGCUCCUGCUGCAUGGUGGGGGUUGGAAAGUUUCGGCGGUUGGGGAUGGACUCGCGGCUUAUCAGCUUGUUGGUGGGGUAGUGGCCUACCAAGGCUUUGACGGGUAGCCGGCCUGAGAGGGUGACCGGCCACAUUGGGACUGAGAUACGGCCCAGACUCCUACGGGAGGCAGCAGUGGGGAAUAUUGCAUAAUGGGCGGAAGCCUGAUGCAGCAACGCCGCGUGCGGGAUGACGGCCUUCGGGUUGUAAACCGCUUUCGCCUGUGACGAAGCGUGAGUGACGGUAAUGGGUAAAGAAGCACCGGCUAACUACGUG
rnacentral:rRNA from 1 species